UACGGAGGGUGCGAGCGUUGUCCGGAAUCACUGGGCGUAAAGGGCGCGUAGGUGGCGCGGCAAGUCAACGGUGAAAGCUCGACGCUCAACGUCGAGUCGGCCGUCGAUACUGCCGCGCUCGAGCACUGUAGAGGCAGAUGGAAUUCCGGGUGUAGCGGUGGAAUGCGUAGAGAUCCGGAAGAACGACCGGUGGCGCAAGG
rnacentral:rRNA from 1 species